UUAUGGAGAGUUUGAUCCUGGCUCAGGAUGAACGCUGGCGGCGUGCCUAAUACAUGCAAGUCGAGCGAACGGACGAGAGUGCUUGCACUCUCUGAUGUUAGCGGCGGACGGGUGAGUAACACGUGGGUAACCUACCUAUAAGACUGGGAUAACUUCGGGAAACCGGAGCUAAUACCGGAUAAUAUUUAGCUUCGCAUGAAGCAAUAGUGAAAGACGGUUCUGCUGUCACUUAUAGAUGGACCCGCGGUGUAUUAGCUAGUUGGUGAGGUAACGGCUCACCAAGGCAACGAUACAUAGCCGACCUGAGAGGGUGAUCGGCCACACUGGGACUGAGACACGGCCCAGACUCCUACGGGAGGCAGCAGUAGGGAAUCUUCCGCAAUGGACGAAAGUCUGACGGAGCAACGCCGCGUGAGUGAAGAAGGUUUUCGGAUCGUAAA
rnacentral:rRNA from 1 species